rnacentral:rRNA from 1 species
GGGUUGUGAGGUUAAGCGACUAAGCGUACACGGUGGAUGCCCUGGCAGUCAGAGGCGAUGAAGGACGUGCUAAUCUGCGAUAAGCGUCGGUAAGGUGAUAUGAACCGUUAUAACCGGCGAUUUCCGAAUGGGGAAACCCAGUGUGAUUCGUCACACUAUCAUUAACUGAAUCCAUAGGUUAAUGAGGCGAACCGGGGGAACUGAAACAUCUAAGUACCCCGAGGAAAAGAAAUCAACCGAGAUUCCCCCAGUAGCGGCGAGCGAACGGGGAGCAGCCCAGAGCCUGAAUCAGUGUGUGUGUUAGUGGAAGCGUCUGGAAAGGCGUGCGAUACAGGGUGACAGCCCCGUACACAAAAAUGCACAUGCUGUGAGCUCGAUGAGUAGGGCGGGACACGUGGUAUCCUGUCUGAAUAUGGGGGGACCAUCCUCCAAGGCUAAAUACUCCUGACUGACCGAUAGUGAACCAGUACCGUGAGGGAAAGGCGAAAAGAACCCCGGCGAGGGGAGUGAAAAAGAACCUGAAACCGUGUACGUACAAGCAGUGGGAGCACAGAGCAAUCUGUGUGACUGCGUACCUUUUGUAUAAUGGGUCAGCGACUUAUAUUCUGUAGCAAGGUUAACCGAAUAGGGGAGCCGAAGGGAAACCGAGUCUUAACUGGGCGUUAAGUUGCAGGGUAUAGACCCGAAACCCGGUGAUCUAGCCAUGGGCAGGUUGAAGGUUGGGUAACACUAACUGGAGGACCGAACCGACUAAUGUUGAAAAAUUAGCGGAUGACUUGUGGCUGGGGGUGAAAGGCCAAUCAAACCGGGAGAUAGCUGGUUCUCCCCGAAAGCUAUUUAGGUAGCGCCUCGUGAAUUCAUCUCCGGGGGUAGAGCACUGUUUCGGCAAGGGGGUCAUCCCGACUUACCAACCCGAUGCAAACUGCGAAUACCGGAGAAUGUUAUCACGGGAGACACACGGCGGGUGCUAACGUCCGUCGUGAAGAGGGAAACAACCCAGACCGCCAGCUAAGGUCCCAAAGUCAUGGUUAAGUGGGAAACGAUGUGGGAAGGCCCAGACAGCCAGGAUGUUGGCUUAGAAGCAGCCAUCAUUUAAAGAAAGCGUAAUAGCUCACUGGUCGAGUCGGCCUGCGCGGAAGAUGUAACGGGGCUAAACCAUGCACCGAAGCUGCGGCAGCGACGCUGAUGCGUUGUUGGGUAGGGGAGCGUUCUGUAAGCCUGUGAAGGUGUACUGUGAGGUAUGCUGGAGGUAUCAGAAGUGCGAAUGCUGACAUAAGUAACGAUAAAGCGGGUGAAAAGCCCGCUCGCCGGAAGACCAAGGGUUCCUGUCCAACGUUAAUCGGGGCAGGGUGAGUCGACCCCUAAGGCGAGGCCGAAAGGCGUAGUCGAUGGGAAACAGGUUAAUAUUCCUGUACUUGGUGUUACUGCGAAGGGGGGACGGAGAAGGCUAUGUUGGCCGGGCGACGGUUGUCCCGGUUUAAGCGUGUAGGCUGGUUUUCCAGGCAAAUCCGGAAAAUCAAGGCUGAGGCGUGAUGACGAGGCACUACGGUGCUGAAGCAACAAAUGCCCUGCUUCCAGGAAAAGCCUCUAAGCAUCAGGUAACAUCAAAUCGUACCCCAAACCGACACAGGUGGUCAGGUAGAGAAUACCAAGGCGCUUGAGAGAACUCGGGUGAAGGAACUAGGCAAAAUGGUGCCGUAACUUCGGGAGAAGGCACGCUGAUAUGUAGGUGAAGUCCCUCGCGGAUGGAGCUGAAAUCAGUCGAAGAUACCAGCUGGCUGCAACUGUUUAUUAAAAACACAGCACUGUGCAAACACGAAAGUGGACGUAUACGGUGUGACGCCUGCCCGGUGCCGGAAGGUUAAUUGAUGGGGUCAGCGCAAGCGAAGCUCUUGAUCGAAGCCCCGGUAAACGGCGGCCGUAACUAUAACGGUCCUAAGGUAGCGAAAUUCCUUGUCGGGUAAGUUCCGACCUGCACGAAUGGCGUAAUGAUGGCCAGGCUGUCUCCACCCGAGACUCAGUGAAAUUGAACUCGCUGUGAAGAUGCAGUGUACCCGCGGCAAGACGGAAAGACCCCGUGAACCUUUACUAUAGCUUGACACUGAACAUUGAGCCUUGAUGUGUAGGAUAGGUGGGAGGCUUUGAAGUGUGGACGCCAGUCUGCAUGGAGCCGACCUUGAAAUACCACCCUUUAAUGUUUGAUGUUCUAACGUUGACCCGUAAUCCGGGUUGCGGACAGUGUCUGGUGGGUAGUUUGACUGGGGCGGUCUCCUCCUAAAGAGUAACGGAGGAGCACGAAGGUUGGCUAAUCCUGGUCGGACAUCAGGAGGUUAGUGCAAUGGCAUAAGCCAGCUUGACUGCGAGCGUGACGGCGCGAGCAGGUGCGAAAGCAGGUCAUAGUGAUCCGGUGGUUCUGAAUGGAAGGGCCAUCGCUCAACGGAUAAAAGGUACUCCGGGGAUAACAGGCUGAUACCGCCCAAGAGUUCAUAUCGACGGCGGUGUUUGGCACCUCGAUGUCGGCUCAUCACAUCCUGGGGCUGAAGUAGGUCCCAAGGGUAUGGCUGUUCGCCAUUUAAAGUGGUACGCGAGCUGGGUUUAGAACGUCGUGAGACAGUUCGGUCCCUAUCUGCCGUGGGCGCUGGAGAACUGAGGGGGGCUGCUCCUAGUACGAGAGGACCGGAGUGGACGCAUCACUGGUGUUCGGGUUGUCAUGCCAAUGGCACUGCCCGGUAGCUAAAUGCGGAAGAGAUAAGUGCUGAAAGCAUCUAAGCACGAAACUUGCCCCGAGAUGAGUUCUCCCUGACUCCUUGAGAGUCCUGAAGGAACGUUGAAGACGACGACGUUGAUAGGCCGGGUGUGUAAGCGCAGCGAUGCGUUGAGCUAACCGGUACUAAUGAACCGUGAGGCUUAACCUUACAACGCCGAAG